UUGGGGUUUUACGGCAUGGCCGCGCCGCGUUCCAGUUGCGAGGUGUUAGCUACUACGCAAUGGAGGCUGCAGCGAGACCGCCAAUGUAUUUCGGGGGCGGCACCGCCAGAAGGCAGAGCCGAUCCCCAACACCAAACCCGGGGGCUUGAGGGUUGAAAUGACGCUCGAACAGGCAUGCCCGCCGGAAUACCAGCGGGCGCAAUGUGCGUUCAAAGAUUCGAUGAUUCACUGAAUUCUGCAAUUCACAUUACUUAUCGCAUUUUGCUGCGUUCUUCAUCGAUGCCAGAACCAAGAGAUCCGUUGUUGAAAGUUUUGAUUUAUUUGUUUGUUUUACUCAGAAGUUACAAUAAGAAACAUUAGAGUUUGGGUCCUCUGGCGGGCCGUCCCGUUUUACGGGGCGCGGGCUGAUCCGCCGAGGCAACAUUAAGGUAUGUUCACAGGGGUUUGGGAGUUGUAAACUCGGUAAUGAUCCCUCCGCA
rnacentral:misc_RNA from 1 species